rfam:Blastococcus sp. DSM 44272 genome assembly, contig: Ga0170376_115
AACACACAGCAGGGGAGCGCUUCGGCGCUGAGAGUGCGGGCAACCGCAGACCCUCGAACCUGAUCCGGGUCAUGCCGGCGCAGGGAGUCUGGAGGACAACCAUG